rnacentral:ncRNA from 1 species
GCCGCGGGACGACCCGUGGCCGAUACGCAACCGGCAGGACGACCUGC